rnacentral:rRNA from 1 species
CGCUGGCGGCAGGCCUAAGACAUGCAAGUCGUACGCGAACGACCUUUCGGGGUUAAGUAGAGUGGCGAACGGGUUAGUAACGCGUGGGAACAUACACAGCACAGGAGGAUAACCAUUGGAAACGAUGGCUAAUACCGCAUACGCCCUAUUGGGGAAAGAUUUAUCGGUGUUGGAUUGGCCCGCGUUAGAUUAGCUAGUUGGUGGGGUAAUGGCUCACCAAGGCGACGAUUUAUAGCUGGUUUGAGAGGAUGAUCAGCAACACUGGAACUGAGACACGGUCCAGACUCCUACGGGAGGCAGCAGUCGGGAAUAUUGUGCAAUGGGGGCAACCCUGACACAGCCAUGCCGCGUGAGUGAAGAAGGCCUUAGGGUUGUAAAGCUCUUUCAGAUGUGAGGAUGAUGACGAUAGCAUCAGAAGAAGCUCCGGCUAACUUCGUGCCAGCAGCCGCGGUAAUACGAAGGGAGCUAGCGUUGUUCGGAAUUACUGGGCGUAAAGGGCGUGUAGGCGGAUUAUCAAGUUAGGGGUGAAAUCCCGGGGCUC